AUCACUUUUCGGCCUUUUGGCUAAGAUCAAGUAUAGUACCUGUUCUUACCGGUUUAGUAUUGGAUACGUCCUCUCUCCAAGGACAAUAUAUUAAAUGGAUUUUUGGAGCGGGGAGUUGGCCUAGGAGCUUGCUCCGUCCACGCCAUGCAUCGACCUGGUAUUGUACCUCCAGGAUAGUGCACCCCUC